GAUGAACGCUGGCGGCGUGCCUAAUACAUGCCAGUCGAGCGAACAGACGAGGCGCUUGCUCCUCUGACGUUAGCGGCGGACGGGUGAGUAACACGUGGAUAACCUACCUAUAAGACUGGGAUAACUUCGGGAAACCGGAGCUAAUACCGGAUAAUAUAUUGAACCGCAUGGUUCAAUAGUGAAAGACGGUUUUGCUGUCACUUAUAGAUGGAUCCGCGCCGCAUUAGCUAGUUGGUAAGGUAACGGCUUACCAAGGCAACGAUGCGUAGCCGACCUGAGAGGGGGAUCGGCCACACUGGAACUGAGACACGGUCCAGACUCCUACGGGAGGCAGCAGUAGGGAAUCUUCCGCAAUGGGCGAAAGCCUGACGGAGCAACGCCGCGUGAGUGAUGAAGGUCUUCGGAUCGUAAAGCUCUGUUAUUAGGGAAGAACAAAUGUGUAAGUAACUAUGCACGUCUUGACGGUACCUAAUCAGAAAGCCACGGCUAACUACGUG
rnacentral:rRNA from 1 species